UACGGGGGGGGCAAGCGUUGUUCGGAAUUACUGGGCGUAAAGGGCGCGUAGGCGGCCUUCUAAGUCGGACGUGAAAUCCCUCGGCUUAACCGAGGAACUGCGUCCGAUACUGAAAGGCUUGAAUCCGGGAGAGGGAUGUGGAAUUCCACGUGUAGCGGUGAAAUGCGUAGAGAUGUGGAGGAACACCAGUGGCGAAGGCGGCUUUUUGGUCUGUAACUGACGCUGAGGCGCGAAAGCGUGGGGAGCAAACAGG
rnacentral:rRNA from 1 species